UCUUGACAAAACUAAAGAUGGCGACCGGCGCACGGGUGAGUAACACGUACCCAACCUGCCGAUAACUCGGGGAUAGUCCUUACGAAAGAAAGAUUAAUAUCCGAUAGUAUAUUAAAACCGCAUGGUUUUACUAUUAAAGAAUUUCGGUUAUCGAUGGGGAUGCGUUCCAUUAGUUUGUUGGCGGGGUAACGGCCCACCAAGACUACGAUGGAUAGGGGUUCUGAGAGGAAGGUCCCCCACAUUGGAACUGAGACACGGUCCAA
rnacentral:rRNA from 1 species